rnacentral:rRNA from 1 species
AUUGAACUCUGGCGGCAGGCCUAACACAUGCAAGUCGAACGAGUGGCGGACGGGUGAGUAAUGUCUGGGAAACUGCCUGAUGGAGGGGGCUAACUACUGGAAACGGUAGCUAAUACCGCAUACCAUCGGAUGUGCCCAGAUGGGAUUAGCUAGUAGGUGGGGUAAAGGCUCACCUAGGCGACGAUCCCUAGCUGGUCUGCGAGGAUGACCAGCCACAAGGGAAAUGAGACACGGUCCAGAGUCCUACGGGAGGCAGCAGUGGGGAAUAUUGCACAAGGGGCGCAAGCCUUAUGCAGCCAUGCAGCGGGUAUGAAGAAGGUCUUCGGGUUGUAAAGUACUUUCAGCGGGGAGGCGUUAACCGCAGAAGAAGCACCGGCUAACUCCGUGCCAGCAGCCGCGGUAAUUC